UGGCGGUCAUAUCACAUAGAAACCCCGGUUCUCACAGGAUCACUGGAGGUAAGCACCGUCGAGCCUGGUCAGUAUCUAGAUUGGUAACCGCUUGGGGAUACCACGUGCUGUAAG